rnacentral:rRNA from 1 species
GUACGCGCCCCUCCCGCUACUGCUCUUUUUUUCCCCAUUUAACUCCGCGGAACCCCCCUCGCCUCGAGAUUCGCGCGGCCGUGUCUGCCUCUGGGUCCGCGCUUCCGUUGUCUAGCGUCCUGAGCUAGAUCUCUCAGCUCGCUCUUCGCCGGCGCUUUGGGCUUAGAUCUGGCUGGGGCGAGUAAGUGGAGGCCGGCCGCGGAUUCGUGACGAGGGAGGGGAGCCAUGGAGCUGGGGGCGGCCGGGAUGCGGCGGUCGGCGUCGCACAACUCGCUGUCCGGGUCCGAUGACUUCGACCUCACACACCUGCUCAACAAGCCGCGGAUCAACGUCGAGCGCCAGCGCUCCUUCGAUGACCGUUCGCUCAGCGACGUCUCCUACUCCGGUGGCCACGCCAGAGGAGGCGGAGGCUUCGACGGCAUGUACUCCCCGGGCGGCGGUCUACGCUCUCUGGUCGGCACGCCGGCCUCCUCGGCGCUCCACUCUUUCGAGCCCCACCCCAUAGUGGGCGACGCCUGGGAGGCCCUCCGCCGCUCCCUCGUCUUUUUCCGCGGCCAGCCGCUUGGUACCAUCGCCGCUUUCGACCAUGCAUCCGAGGAAGUCCUAAACUAUGAUCAGGUGUUUGUGAGAGAUUUCGUGCCCAGCGCCAUGGCGUUUCUGAUGAAUGGCGAGCCGGAGAUUGUCAAGAACUUCCUGCUCAAGACCGUGUUGCUGCAGGGUUGGGAGAAGAAGGUUGAUCGGUUUAAGCUUGGCGAGGGGGCCAUGCCUGCAAGCUUUAAAGUGCUUCAUGACGAUAAGAAGGGUGUUGAUACCCUGCACGCGGAUUUUGGUGAGAGCGCAAUUGGGCGGGUUGCACCAGUGGAUUCGGGCUUCUGGUGGAUCAUACUAUUGCGGGCCUACACAAAGUCCACCGGGGAUUUGACUCUGGCAGAGAGGCCGGAAUGCCAGAAGGCGAUGAGGCUCAUUCUGAGCUUGUGCUUGUCUGAGGGAUUUGAUACCUUCCCGACAUUGUUAUGUGCUGAUGGUUGCUGCAUGAUAGAUCGUAGGAUGGGUGUGUAUGGCUACCCCAUUGAAAUUCAAUCCCUUUUCUUCAUGGCACUAAGGUGUGCUCUUCUAAUGCUUAAACAUGACGCUGAAGGGAAAGAUUUUGUGGAGCGGAUUGCAACUCGUCUUCAUGCUUUAAGUUAUCACAUGCGGAGUUAUUUUUGGCUAGAUUUCCAGCAGCUAAAUGAUAUUUAUCGUUACAAGACGGAAGAAUAUUCUCAUACAGCUGUCAACAAAUUUAAUGUUAUUCCAGAUUCUAUUCCGGACUGGCUAUUUGAUUUCAUGCCUUGCGAGGGUGGUUUUUUUGUUGGUAAUGUCAGUCCUGCAAGGAUGGACUUCCGUUGGUUUGCACUUGGAAACAUGAUUGCCAUAGUAUCAUCUCUUGCUACACCUGAGCAAUCCAUGGCCAUAAUGGAUCUCAUUGAGGAGCGCUGGGAAGAGUUAAUUGGUGAGAUGCCUCUGAAGAUAUGCUAUCCUGCUAUUGAGAACCAUGAAUGGCGUAUCGUGACGGGAUGUGAUCCAAAAAAUACGAGAUGGAGUUACCACAAUGGAGGAUCUUGGCCAGUACUUCUCUGGCUGCUCACAGCAGCAAGCAUCAAAACUGGACGGCCGCAAAUUGCAAGAAGAGCAAUUGACCUAGCUGAGAGGAGGCUGUUGAAGGAUGGCUGGCCUGAGUAUUACGAUGGUAAGCUUGGAAAAUAUGUUGGCAAGCAGGCAAGGAAAUUUCAGACUUGGUCCAUUGCCGGGUAUUUGGUCGCCAAGAUGCUGCUGGAGGAUCCUUCGCAUCUUGGUAUGAUAGCCUUGGAAGAGGACAAGGCAAUGAAGCCAGUUUUGAGAAGGUCCGCCUCAUGGACAAACUGAUAUAUCGACAAGAGCUUUAGGGGAGCAACGUCUGGAUUGAAAACACGAAUUAUUCGGGUAGCAUUUCUCUGCUCAUCCCUUGUUUUGACUUUCCCAACGGAAAGUUUUAUUUUCUUCUGGAUUCCUCGGCUGUACAAUAUCUCAGCUCAUUUAUUGAGUUGGAAAAGAAGCAAUUGUGGAAAUGAGUAUUCUCUUUUCUUUUCUUUUCAGUCCAUCGUUGUAAGAAGAUACUAUUGAUUCUUGCUUGGUCAUUCCGUAGUAACGGGAUCCUUGACUCAAAACUUUGUUGUUUGGGUUGAGUAUAUAGACGAGUCUGCUGAUCCAGCUUCCUAUGAUGAACAUAAGUUUUUAUCUAACGAAUAAAGAUUGCUCCAUUCUGCUAGUG